UACGUAGGGGGCGAGCGUUGUCCGGAUUUAUUGGGCGUAAAGAGCGUGUAGGCGGCCAGGUAGGUCUGCUGUGAAAACUCGAGGCUCAACCUCGAGACGUCGGCGGAAACCAUCUGGCUAGAGUCCGGAAGAGGAGAGUGGAAUUCCUGGUGUAGCGGUGAAAUGCGCAGAUAUCAGGAAGAACACCCGUGGCGAAGGCGGCUCUCUGGGACGAUACUGACGCUGAGACGCGAAAGCGUGGGGAGCGAACAGG
rnacentral:rRNA from 1 species